UUGGAGGGCAAGUCUGGUGCCAGCAGCCGCGGUAAUUCCAGCUCCAAUAGCGUAUAUUAAAGUUGUUGCAGUUAAAAAGCUCGUAGUUGAAUUUCGAGACCAUCAUGUCGGUCGUGCCUCGGUACGUACUGGCAUUGUUGGUUUCUCCCUUCUGACGAACCAUGAUGUCAUUUAUUUGGUGUUGUGGGGAAUCAGGACUGUUACUUUGAAAAAAUUAGAGUGUUUAAAGCAGGCUCACGCUUGAAUACAUUAGCAUGGAAUAAUGAAAUAGGACGUUUGAUUCUAUUUUGUUGGUUUCUAGGAUCGACGUAAUGAUUAAUAGGGAUAGUUGGGGGCAUUAGUAUUCAAUUGUCAGAGGUGAAACUCUUGGAUUUAUUGAAGACUAACUACUGCGAAAGCAUUUGCCAAGGAUGUUUUCAUUAAUCAAGAACGAAAGUUAGGGGAUCGAAGACGAUCAGAUACCGUCGUAGUCUUAACCAUAAACUAUGCCGACUAGGGAUCGGAUGAUGUUAAUUUUUUAAUGACUCAUUCGGCGCCUUACGGGAAACCAAAGUGUUUGGGUUC
rnacentral:rRNA from 1 species